AUUGAACGCUGGCGGAAUGCUUUACACAUGCAAGUCGAACGGCAGCACGGGGGCAACCCUGGUGGCGAGUGGCGAACGGGUGAGUAAUACAUCGGAACGUGCCCAGUCGUGGGGGGAUAACUACGCGAAAGCGUAGCUAAUACCGCAUACGAACUGAGGUUGAAAGCGGGGGACCGUAAGGCCUCGCGCGAUUGGAGCGGCCGAUGGCAGAUUAGGUAGUUGGUGGGGUAAAGGCCUACCAAGCCGACGAUCUGUAGCUGGUCUGAGAGGACGACCAGCCACACUGGGACUGAGACACGGCCCAGACUCCUACGGGAGGCAGCAGUGAGGAAUAUUGGACAAUGGGCGCAAGCCUGAUCCAGCCAUUCCGCGUGCAGGAUGAAGGCCUUCGGUUGGUAACUAGCUUUGGUACGGUAACGAAAAGACGUACUUUACUAAUAACUAGAGUAGGUC
rnacentral:rRNA from 1 species